UGCGUAGGUGGUCGGGUAAGUCUGAUGUGAAAUCUCGGAGCUCAACUCCGAAACUGCAUUGGAAACUACUCGGCUCGAGGGUUGGAGGGGGGACUGGAAUUCUCGGUGUAGCAGUGAAAUGCGUAGAUAUCGAGAGGAACACCAGUGGCGAAGGCGAGUCCCUGGACAACUCCUGACACUAAGGCACGAAAGCUAGGGGAGCAGACA
rnacentral:rRNA from 1 species